AUCAUUUUGGCAUGGACGUAGAUCAUAAAGCGUCGGGCUUGUUGGGCUUUAUGGUAAUUUGAUUCCGGCUCCGGAGCCUCCGAAGGUUCAUACUCACCAUCCUUUUUCAUUUCACGAUUCCCAAGGCAAAAGAAUGUGAGGUAAUCUCUAGGGUCGUCUUCAAGCCCUUUGUUUUGUAAAGCUUGAAUAAUAUCUUUAUACAUCAUCUCCAUCGUCCUCCUUUGCCAGUCAAGUAUCGCCUGAACGGAAGCACUCUCCGGGAUCCCCUCCGGCC
rnacentral:lncRNA from 1 species